rnacentral:sRNA from 1 species
UAGAAAAGUUAUACUGUCUGCGAGUACCUC